AACAGGAAGGCAUCGUUGUAGGCGAGGAUGUUGGCCUCGCGGGUGAUCGUCUGUCCGAGCAGGGCCACGCCCUCCCCGUUCAGCAACGCCCU
rnacentral:sRNA from 1 species